rnacentral:rRNA from 1 species
GCUGUUAAGGGUUCGUAGUUGAAUUGGGGGCUGAAGAGAAACUGAGGCGUCUCCACCAGGGUACUCAACCUCUGGAACUCGCAGCUCGAGAACAUUCGAAACAAACAUCACGGGAUCGUUUCUACCCAAAUUUCGCAUACAAUGUAUGCAGGGGGACGUCCGUGUUUAUUACUGUGACAAAGAAGGGUGACCAAAGCAGUCAUUCGACAUGAAUUAGAAAGCAUGGGAUAACAAAGCGCAGCCUACGGGCUUCCUUUUUGGCUUUUGUUGGUUUUAAAGGUCCGUGGGAGAUUGUGGCGUCGCGGACCGGCUGCACGGGAUUCGUCCCGACAGCCUUCUGGUUGGGGAAACCUUUCUCGACCUGUCGACCGCCAGGAAUGAAGGAGGGUUGUUCGGGGGAGAACGUACUUGAGCGUGGAGGUGAAAUUCUUAGACCGCUCAAAGACGAACUACAGCGAAGGCAUUCUCCAAGGUACCUUCCUCAAUCAAGAACUAAAGUGGUCCC